CCCAUAUGUUCAAAAGACACGGGAUCAGGACACCUUGGAUCCAUCCCAGCUUGAUGCCACCGUGACUCGAUUGGCCAGCUCCAAUUAAUCCUGCUUCGACAUUGGUGUCCUAAAAAAUGAAGAACCUCCUCGUGUAACUCGGAGGACGAAGCUACCAGGGUGAUGUCACAUUGCAGAAAUUAUCCGAGUUAAUGGCACCGGUAAACCUUGGUAACACGAGGUGCACUAAACGGAACGGGAUCCUCGCGCGCUCAGUUUCCGGAAGCCGUCAUCGAACUUAGGAUUUGUCAUACGCUGAUAUGGAUUAUGCCUCACCGAGCUAACCCUGGAAAUCGGUGAAUUCAAUUGAAAGCCGAGUCUUAACCGGAUCAAACCGAGCCGGCAAUUUCACCCAAGUGGUUCCAGCGAGCGGAGACCUCGGUCUGGAAGGAGACCACCGAAUCCUCCUCACCAGGCUACCCAGGGUACAUCUUAUCAUCCCAGCCUGACAAUACCAGUGAUAUCGAGUACCGAGCGAAAGAAUCAAAAAAUGUCUUGGACCAAAGUGUCUCAUCGCACGACGGAGGACAAGAGGUCUGCAGAUUUGGGUUCGCGAUGAGAGUACGUGCACCAUCGGAUGCAAGAGUUCGUCAGCGGAGUCGAAGACCGAGGCUACACGACAUUCUGUGGAUUUUAUCAAGCGGAUUAGUUGAUCGUCCAGGCUCGAUCGAGCUCCCCACCCAUAUGGAAGGAUCGAAGAUUCGUAGGUGCGCCGUUUUCCACCCAGGAAAAUCGAGCCCAAGGAAAAUACCGGCAAUUAGCGAUUAUCCUCCGUCAGCGCGCGAAGACCUCGGGGAAGACAUUGACGACGUGGCGGACCUGGAAGAUUGCGAAAUCAGCGACGAACCGGAAAAGGGCGAAAUUAAUUAGCCCGGCCUGAUUUUUUGGUCGAGGUGCGAUCGCAAGGACUCCUAAUUGGAGCGGAAUUGCAGGAGGCGUGGGUAGAGCUUUUAACUUCGUGUUUACUCUGGGCUGCGGUCUGCGCGUGGCUGGCCUGCUAGGAGAGCUCGAUUUUAUGCGUUUUCGAGAGGUAUCUAUAUAAAGCAUAACGAAUUUACAUCUCGAACGGUUUCGACGAAAGGCGGCCAGCGGGGAUUCGCCGGUCACGGGGAAAAAUGGCAUCUGGUCGCGGCCUCAUCCCAAGGACCUCGGCAAAAGCGCCGUUUCUUGGGAGUCCUUCCGGAGUUCUAGGAAUUAUUCCUGGAAAUCCAGUACUCGUUUUCAAAGGCCUUGGAAUAAUUUAAAGUCCUCCGUAAGAUUGCGUUAUCGGGGAUUAUUUAUUAAGAAUUGGCGGGGACGCGUGAGAGGUGCGCGCGCAGCUCGUGAUCGCUUCUUCCGAAAUGCGGCUGGCAGCAGCUGCCGGCUUAAUUCCCUCGGAGUGGAAUGGUUUCUCGAAGGCUUGGGACUCGCGCGAGUUCCCUUCGGCUGUGCAAGCCGACCGACCCGGUCCUCUCGAGAUCCAACAGCCAAGAUCCAGUUCGAUCCAGUGCGAUCCGGCGAGUCCGGGGCCUCCUGGAUCGCGGACGGCCGACGGAAGGAUCCUCGAGUAUCCUCGGGCAUCCUCGGGAAUCCUCGGCCCUCUUCGCUGCCCCUCGCGCAAAACCGGCCGAGAAUUCCGGACAUCGCCGGCUGCCGAGAAACGCCCUUCGACGUUGCGACAUGCAUCGAGAUUAACGGAUAAACCGAUAAGCAAUCCAAAAACUGAUGUACUUGCGCUACUUAUAUAAUAAACUGUAAAAUAAUGAGUGUAAUAAAGCAAGUUAUUCAAUGAUAA